rnacentral:sRNA from 1 species
AAAGAAAACAAUCCAACGCCUUUAGUGC